UCUUUUCUUUUUCUUUUCCCAUUAAACCUCUGCUCCUAAACUCCUCAUAUGUGUCUGUGUCCUAAAUUUUCUUGGUGCAAGAGGAUGAACCCCAGGUUCAGGGAAUGCAUGUGGAGGUUUGGUACAUGGCGAUAUUGCUUGUUGCUGAGGCUCAGUGUAAGAAUGAUCCUGUCACCAAGGUUUGACCUUGGAAGUCCUCAUGGAGAAAAUUGCAUCUGAGCUGGACCAUGAAAAAUGAGUAGGAUUUCAACAGAUAACAAUGGAAGAGAGCUUGGCACCAUGCUGGAUAAGAACAGAAGAAUUAUCUCCCUGGUGUUGGACAACAGAGGCUGCUAGCGUUAUAUCCUUUUACUAUCAAAUAGCCUUGCCAAAAUGAGUUUGGCAACAUCCUAACAUGUGUCAUGUGAGCUACUCCCAAUCACCAUCCCAAGCUACCCCGAAAAUGCCCCAUGGUGCCCUUUUGUAAAAGCCCAUCACUUUGGCCACACUGCAGAGAAGGAACAAAGCACAGAGGCUCAUCAUUCCAGCAGGGAGGAGGACUUCUGUCCUGACCAGGUAAAACUCCAGAUGCUGCCCCUCUGACAGCCCCCACCCACUCCCACACAUGGUGAUUAAUAUGCCCUAAGAGGCACGGUGGAAUUUUUAAAAGAGCAGCGAACUAUGAUGAAACAGACUGAAUUCAGGUCUUAGCAAUGCUGUUGCACUGUGAUUUGGAGAUGGUCAUUGACCUUUGAAUUUCACUUUUCUUAUCUGCUAGACAGAGAUAAUCAUUUUUCUCCUCCUGCCUGACAGGGUUGUUUUAAAUAGCACAAGAUGUUAAAUGCAUUGUAACUAGAAAGUGUAAUACAACUGAUUCUUGAACAAUGCAAGAAUUAGGGGUGCCGAACCCCGCACAGUAGAAAAUCCAUGUGUAACUUUUUGACUCCCCCAAAACUUAACUACUAAUAGCUUACUGUUGACCAGAAGCUUUGGGAAUAACAAAAACAGUCGAUUAACAUAGAUCUUGUAUGUUAUAUGUAUUAUAGACUUUAUCUUACCAUCAAGUAAGCUAGAAAAAAGAAAACGUCAUUAAGAAAAUCAAAAGGAAGAGAAAAUAUAUUUACUAUUCAUUAAGUGAAAGCAGAUCCUCAUAAAAGUCUUCAACUUCCUUGUCUUCAAAUGAAGAGAAAGAGAAAGGGGAGGGGUUGGCCUUGUUAUCUCAGAGGUGACAGAGGAAGAAAGGAUGAAGGAGGUGGAAGGGGAAGCGGGAGAGGCAGGCACAGUUAGUGUAAUUUUAUUGAAAAAAAAAUCCAUGCAUACAUAGAUCCAUGCAGUUAAGACCUGUGUUAUUCCAAGGUCAGCUGUACAAAUAAAUUUUAGCAGCUGUUUUAUCUGAAAAAUACAAUAAUUAUAUUAUAUAAUAUUACAAAAUCACAUUAUUCCAUAAUAAUGAUAUCUGUUCCAACAAACUCACAAUGUUAGGAAAACCAAAGUCAAUUCUGGUUUUGGUUCAUUCAUUUAUUCAAGCAGUGACUGUAACAGGAACCGGGAUGAACUUGAAUAAUCAGAGCUGAAGAUUAAUGUGGAAUUCCUUCUUAAACGGCAAAGCACCAUGCAGAUGUAAGGUCUUAAAACCGACUCAGAGCCUUGGACACAAUUCAGAAGCAAAGUCCACACUGAAAACUCAGCUAAAAUCAUGCAAAUUAACAUCUUUUUAGCUUUAUGAAAGAAAGAUAAAUUACUGUAUAACUGAAGACUUUCUCCUGGUUAUAUACUACAAAUAAUAAGUUAAACAUUGUUAAAAAUAUGUUAAACUAUUAUUUAAACAUUAGUAUAAUUGGUGCAUAAUAGUUAACUAAACCACACAAUAUGACAUCCAGAAACGUUCUACUAAAUUAGAGAGGGUAAAAACAGUAGAUAUAACCAAAUAUUUUAAAUUCUACUUUAACAUCUAGCCUUCAUAUGCAAAUCAGCAAACAUGAAUUAGCCUGAUGCUCUAAAUAUGAAUCCAAGAAUGUGUUAAACAAUGGUGCUACAAGAGGUUCUAGGACAGAUAGAAAAUAGCAGAUCAAUGCAUUCUGUCCAGCAGGUGAGAUAUUUUGCUGUUUGUUAAUUCCAGCAAAGAAUGGAACUGAUAUUUCUGUGUCAUGAGCAAAAAUAUACUGGAGACAUAUGCAGAGUAGAAAUGAGGCUGGAAUGAAUGUGAAAAUUAAAGGAUAUCUAAGUGAACUGAAAUUCCCUUCACCUGGGAACUAUACACAUUCUAAAAAAGUAACUUGACUGUGAGUUUAUUGCUCUCUUGGCAAAACUAAGAAAUCAAGGUCCCUAUACUGUUAAGGGAAGUUAUAAGGCUAAUAAAAGACAUACAUAGUAUUACAAAGCAGCUGAGUCAUUAUCAUUAAUCAAAUAAUUAUGAGAACAAAAUAACGAGAUGUUGAUAAUAUCCCUGCAUUGUUUCUAGCCAGUCCUGGAAAACUAAAGAUAUCGUUUUUAUCAGUCUUGUGAGACGAGAUUGAGAGCUCAGCUGGAAAACCAGGACCUCAACUGGUCACCUUAUUUUCAUGCUGCAGCUGAAGAGAGCCUUACUCUCACUUCAGACACAUCCACCCACUAAUUGUCCCCAGUGUAUUCACUUCCCCUAUCAAAGUGCUUUCUUGAGUCUCGAUAAUUCAUACAGAAAGGACAUUAUUAGCUCUGCACAGUGAUGCACACCUGUAGUCCCAGCUAAUUGGGAGGCUGAGGCAGGAUGAUGCUUGAGCCCAGGAGUUUGAGGCUAUAGCAUGCCAGGAUGGUGCCGGUGAAGAGACACUGCAUUCCAUUCUGGGCAACAUAGCAAGACCCCGUCUCUAAAAAAGGAAUAAAUAAAUGAAUGAAUGAAUGUUAUUAUCUAUAUUUUAGUUUUUCAUGUAUCCCCAUGGAGACUAGAGAGAUAACCUUUCAGACAGCAUUGCCCACACUGCCUACCGCUCCACUGCCAAACACCUCACCACAUUCCUAACCCACUCUGUAGAUGCAGCCACUUGAGCUCGCUGCUGGUUGGUCACCUCUAUUUCUAUGAAUAUUCACUGAAAUGACUGAAACUCUAGGUGAUUAAAGCUGCUUAGUCUUCCGAGGUCUUAGAGAGUGAAAAUAUGGCAUCAUCUCACACUGCACAUUCUCCAUGUUAUGCAAUCAAACAUUUCAAUAAAGUAGCAAACGUGACAUGUUGGAACAAUUUGUAGAUAAAAUACUGUAAAUAGCUUGCUACCAAAGACUUGGCCUUUGUCACCUACAUUUCUCACCUUACAUUUUUAAAUUUAGUUAUACCAAGUUGCUUGUAAAACCUGUUUUCUAUUGAUGCUAUUUCUUACUAAUUUUACUGAUUGCCUUUGUCAGCAUUUUUUUUUUUUUUGACAGAGCCUUACUCUGUCACCCAAGCUGGAGUGCA
rnacentral:lncRNA from 1 species